GUUAUAUGGUCAAGUGAAGAAGCGCAUACGGUGGAUGCCUUGGCAGUCAGAGGCGAUGAAAGACGUGGUAGCCUGCGAAAAGCUUCGGGGAGUCGGCAAACAGACUUUGAUCCGGAGAUGUCUGAAUGGGGGAACCCAGCCAUCACAAGAUGGUUAUCUUGUACUGAAUACAUAGGUGCAAGAGGCGAACCAGGGGAACUGAAACAUCUAAGUACCCUGAGGAAAAGAAAUCAACCGAGAUUCCCUUAGUAGUGGCGAGCGAACGGGGACUAGCCCUUAAGUGGCUUUGAGAUUAGCGGAACGCUCUGGAAAGUGCGGCCAUAGUGGGUGAUAGCCCUGUACGCGAA
rnacentral:rRNA from 1 species